rnacentral:rRNA from 1 species
GAUGAACGCUGGCGGCGUGCUUAACACAUGCAAGUCGAGCGAAGCGGCUGAAUUGAUUCUUCGGAUGAUUUUCAGUUGACUGAGCGGCGGACGGGUGAGUAACGCGUGGGUGACCUGCCCCAUACCGGGGGAUAACAGCUGGAAACGGCUGCUAACACCGCAUAAGCGCACAGAGCUGCAUGGCUCGGUGUGAAAAACUCCGGUGGUAUGGGAUGGGCCCGCGUCUGAUUAGGCAGUUGGCGGGGUAACGGCCCACCAAACCGACGAUCAGUAGCCGGCCUGGGAGGGCGACCGGCCACAUUGGGACUGAGACACGGCCCGAACUCCUACGGGAGGCAGCAGUGGGGAAUAUUGCGCAAUGGGGGAAACCCUGAUGCAGCGACGCCGCGUGAGCGAAGAAGUAUUUCGGUAUGUAAAGCUCUAUCAGCAGGGAAGAUAAUGACGGUACCUGACUAAGAAGCCCCGGCUAACUACGUGCCAGCAGCCGCCGUAAUAC